GGGCACUUAGCACAGGGGUAGCGCGUUCGCUUCGCACCGUCAUUUGGUCACUGUGUCAUGCGAGAGGUCGUGGGUUCAAAUCCCACAGUGUCCA